rnacentral:lncRNA from 1 species
AGGACGGAAUGUUCUUUACUUGAGCUGUCCAAUGUGGCAACUACAAGCCACAGCCAUGUGUGUACAAGGAUACUUGAAAUGUGAUAGUGUGACUCAGGAAUUGACUUCAUAAUUUUAUUUCAUCUUAAUUAAUUUAAGUGUGAAUUUUAAAAGCCACAUGUAGCGAGUGGCUACCAUGUUGGACAGUACAGCUCUAGAACGCAGAACCCUGCUAGAUGCAUCUCGAAAUAUCACCGAGGCCAGUAACCAGCGGGCCCGGUUUGCCUCAGCUCUCGGCGUGAAGGUCUCGCAGAUGUCAGCUGCCUGGACAUCCACAUGAAGCAGGCUGCCCCUCGGGAAAGAGAACACAUGGGUUCAGAGAGGUGUUGGCUGCACGGGCCCUUCUACAAGCUGGCGUGGGCUUGGGCUGCGCACUAUGUGUGGUGGGGCUCUGCUCCCCCGACAAGUCCUGGCCGCUGUCAGUUCAUGAUCAUUUUAGAGAGUGUUUAGUUUCCCUCCACUCCUUCUCUUCCAACUGCCCUUCCCCAAGCCCAGAGCACAGCGGACAUCCCAAGGUUGCCCCCUCAGGUUUGCCAGGACAGCUUCAUCGGAGAAUAGAAAUAGUCAUUCGCCUGCUCAAAGUCACGUCAGGACAGAGCUGAGAGAGAGCUUCAAAAUCAUUUUUUCAAAGCCUUCUGUUUUACAGCUGAGAGACCAAGGCCCGGAGAGGUGACCAGUACUGUCCUUGGCCUCUUUGCCCAGGACACUGACCCACUGAGCCCACAGAUGGGGCAGGAACACGUGUGCAAGCGAGAAGAACAAGAGCCAUCUGGCCGAGCAUGCUAUGCUGAGUUCGUAGCCAAGCCAGAUGGACAAGUCAUGAGCAGGCUACAUUUUUCUAAGAAUAUAUAAACUAUAUCUGGCAGACUCUGUUCGAGGUCCAAAGUUCUUGGUUUUAGGUAUGGCCAUGCAGAUCACACCAGACUUGAAGUGAGAGCUGUUCACCUGAUUUGAAACACUGCAGAUAACAAACUGUUGGGCGCCACUGAAAUGUAUCAGGGAAUUUAGUUGCAAUAAAAACAGUCAAAAUGAAUCAUCUUCAAGUUCCAACAACCAGGAAACAGACAUGUCAGUAAGUUGCAUGUAAGCUCCAGGAUGGCGGAAACCCUACUUGCCUUCCUCACCUGGUACCUAGUAUGUGGCAGGCACUCCACAAACACUUGCUGAAUGGAUGAAUCCAUUGAGCAACCCCAGGAAAGAGCUCCUGCGAGCUAUGAGGCCUGAAAUGACAGCACCGAGGUCUGGAAAUCACCUCACCCAGUCUCCUAAUUGCACAGAUGAGGAAUCCACCGGCCUUGCCAAAGAUUACAAAGCUGAUGGAAAAUUAAGAACACUUCCAAUUCAAAGUUCGAAGCACAAAAUCCAGGUACGUCAUGUUGUGGACUUGCUUCUUUAAUUGGAGAUGAACUCGGUAGCCGAUGGAAAGAAUCCACACUCUAACAGAACAGCAAACUCAAAAGGGUUGUCCCCAUGAAGAAGCCAGCAACUAUGCAUUUGACUUUUUCCAGCUUGGCUCAUUCCCAGAUGUUCAGGAUUUAGAUUCCUGCAGUCUUCAGCAUUUAACUAAUUCUUUGUUGGUGGAAGGGGCUGGGACUGUUUCUCCACACAUAAACUGAUCCUGAGACAGAACAAGAAAUUACAUUAAUCAUAGAGUGUCUGUGUCACAAACGCAUCAAUAGUAAAGUUCCAUUUUGUUACAGAAUCAAUC